rnacentral:rRNA from 1 species
UACGUAGGGUGCGAGCGUUAAUCGGAAUUACUGGGCGUAAAGCGCACGUAGGCGGCUUUCUAAGUCGGGGGUGAAAUCCUGGAGCUCAACUCCAGAACUGCCUUCGAUACUGGAAAGCUCGAGUCCGGGAGAGGUGAGUGGAACUGCGAGUGUAGAGGUGAAAUUCGUAGAUAUUCGCAAGAACACCAGUGGCGAAGGCGGCUCACUGGCCCGGUACUGACGCUGAGGUGCGAAAGCGUGGGGAGCAAACAGG